UAUUGUUACUUAAGCUAAAACAUUGUUUGGAUUUCAUUAAACUUUUUGUGAAAUACCGCAAUUUAAGUCCCCGCCUUUUAUAUGAAAACCGGUCGAGCCGCGACUUUUAAAGAGUUUUAUAUAUAUCUAUAAAUUUAGGUUGGUGCCAGUGAGAUAGUAUUGGUGACCCUAGACCUGGUGCUUUCCUUGCUCAACGAAUAAGUAUCGCAACACAGCGAGGAAAUGCUGCCAGCGUAAAAGAUAUAAUAUCUGAUCUCGAUGGAACAAAGCGCGCAGUUUAACGCUUCCCAGAAUUGUAUGAAAUCUCGUGCAGUACUUUAGUAAUCACUAAGAUCAUUAGUAUAGAAUUUACUCAAUUUUUGAUGAUAUUAUAACAAAAUCUAUUUCGUAAAAUUAAAAGAGUUGAAGAACCGUGUAAAGUAGUCAAAAUAAGGAUUUUGACAUUAUUUUUAUGGAAAAUUGGUGUAUUAUGAAAAUUGUAUUUUUCUUUUAUAAAAGAAGUCCUUUAGCUGAAGUUAUAUUAAGUUGUAGUUUUAAAAGCAUGUUUAAAAUAUACUUUAGCACUUAAGUCAAUUCUGUUCGCAGUCUCUGGCUUGGUCCCAAUUCAAACUGGGCUAAAUGCAAUUUGAAUAAUACUUAAAAGCUAGCCUGAAACUGGCUCGUGGAAAUCGUUGUUAGAAUCGUAGAUAUUAUGCUAAUAAGUGGCAUUUCAAAAUGAGGAAUGAGAGAUUUAUAUUAUAUUUUACUUAUAUAUAAUAUAACGAUUUAUAUUGUCCCUCAUGGAGCGGGAGUCUGGGCGGGAGCUCAAAGGUUUGCCCUCUGUUAUAUAAAUAAAAAAAUAUAUUUAUAUAUAUAUAUAAAUAGAUACCUACAAUCCUGACUUGAUAUUAACCGCUGUAUUAUGGGACUGCUUUACUAUUAGAUAUAUCAUAUACAAGUUACUAUUAUUAUUAGUCGAUGUUAUCGUAUCUGUAUGCCACAGUUGACAAUAAUUUAAAUUAAACUAAAUAAUUGUCGCGAA